UACGUAGGGUGCGAGCGUUAAUCGGAAUACUGGGCGUAAAGCGUGCGCAGGCGGUUCUGCAAGUCAGAUGUGAAAUCCCCGGGCUCAACCUGGGAACUGCGUUUGAAACUACAGGGCUAGAGUAUGGGAGAGGGAGGUAGAAUUCCACGUGUAGCAGUGAAAUGCGUAGAGAUGUGGAGGAAUACCAAUGGCGAAGGCAGCCUCCUGGCCUAAUACUGACGCUCAUGCACGAAAGCGUGGGGAGCAAACAGG
rnacentral:rRNA from 1 species